rnacentral:rRNA from 1 species
AUUGAACGCUGGCGGCAGGCCUAACACAUGCAAGUCGAACGAGUGGCGGACGGGUGAGUAAGGUCUGGGAAACUGCCUGCUGGAGGGGGAUAACUACUGGAAACGGUAGCUAAUACCGCAUACCAUCGGAUGUGCCCAGAUGGGAUUAGCUAGUAGGUGGGGUAAAGGCUCACCUAGGGGACGAUCCCUAGCUGGUCUGAGAGGAUGACCGGCAAAAGUGGAACUGAGACACGGUCCAGACUCCUACGGGAGGCAGCAGGGGGGAAGAUUGCACAUGGGGCGCAAGCCUGAUGCAGCCAUGCCGCGUGUAUGAGGAAGGCCUUCGGGUUGUAAAGUGCUUUAAGCGGGGAGGCGUUACCCGCAGAAGAAGCACCGGCUAACUCCGUGCCAGCCGCCGCGGUAAUAC